rnacentral:rRNA from 1 species
UUGAACGCUGGCGGCAGGCCUAACACAUGCAAGUCGAACGGUAACAGGAAACAGCUUGCUGUUUCGCUGACGAGUGGCGGACGGGUGAGUAAUGUCUGGGAAACUGCCUGAUGGAGGGGGAUAACUACUGGAAACGGUAGCUAAUACCGCAUAACGUCGCAAGGCCAAAGAGGGGGACCUUCGGGCCUCUUGCCAUCGGAUGUGCCCAGAUGGGAUUAGCUUGUUGGUGGGGUAACGGCUCACCAAGGCGACGAUCCCUAGCUGGUCUGAGAGGAUGACCAGCCACACUGGAACUGAGACACGGUCCAGACUCCUACGGGAGGCAGCAGUGGGGAAUAUUGCACAAUGGGCGCAAGCCUGAUGCAGCCAUGCCGCGUGUAUGAAGAAGGCCUUCGGGUUGUAAAGUACUUUCAGCGGGGAGGAAGGGAGUAAAGUUAAUACCUUUGCUCAUUGACGUUACCCGCAGAAGAAGCACCGGCUAACUCCGUGCCAGCAGCCGCGGUAAUACGGAGGGUGCAAGCGUUAAUCGGAAUUACUGGGCGUAAAGCGCGCGCAGGCGGUUUGUUAAGUCAGAUGUGAAAUCCCCGGGCUCAACCUGGGAACUGCAUCUGAUACUGGCAAGCUUGAGUCUCGUAGAGGGGGGUAGAAUUCCAGGUGUAGCGGUGAAAUGCGUAGAGAUCUGGAGGAAUACCGGUGGCGAAGGCGGCCCCCUGGACGAAGACUGACGCUCAGGUGCGAAAGCGUGGGGAGCAAACAGGAUUAGAUACCCUGGUAGUCCACGCCGUAAACGAUGUCGACUUGGAGGUUGUGCCCUUGAGGCGUGGCUUCCGGAGCUAACGCGUUAAGUCGACCGCCUGGGGAGUACGGCCGCAAGGUUAAAACUCAAAUGAAUUGACGGGGGCCCGCACAAGCGGUGGAGCAUGUGGUUUAAUUCGAUGCAACGCGAAGAACCUUACCUGGUCUUGACAUCCACGGAAGUUUUCAGAGAUGAGAAUGUGCCUUCGGGAACCGUGAGACAGGUGCUGCAUGGCUGUCGUCAGCUCGUGUUGUGAAAUGUUGGGUUAAGUCCCGCAACGAGCGCAACCCUUAUCCUUUGUUGCCAGCGGUCCGGCCGGGAACUCAAAGGAGACUGCCAGUGAUAAACUGGAGGAAGGUGGGGAUGACGUCAAGUCAUCAUGGCCCUUACGACCAGGGCUACACACGUGCUACAAUGGCGCAUACAAAGAGAAGCGACCUCGCGAGAGCAAGCGGACCUCAUAAAGUGCGUCGUAGUCCGGAUUGGAGUCUGCAACUCGACUCCAUGAAGUCGGAAUCGCUAGUAAUCGUGGAUCAGAAUGCCACGGUGAAUACGUUCCCGGGCCUUGUACACACCGCCCGUCACACCAUGGGAGUGGGUUGCAAAAGAAGUAGGUAGCUUAACCUUCGGGAGGGCGCUUACCACUUUGUGAUUCAUGACUGGGGUG